rnacentral:piRNA from 1 species
UACAUUCGAUUGUGGAGAUAC